AAGGGCGUAUGGUGGAUGCCUUGGUAGACAGGACCGAUGAAGGACGUGACGGGCUGCGAUAUGCCUCGGGGAGCUGCCGAGUGGGCUUUGAUCCGAGGAUUUCCGAAUGGGGAGACCCGGCCACUGUUAUGGGUGGUCACCACAGUUUUUGUGGGG
rnacentral:sRNA from 1 species